UGGCCGCCUUUAAUUUUUCCUUGAAAGCGAAUGCGCGGCACGAACGAAGUUGGCGUCAAUCAUCAAAACGGCGCCUCUUAGUUCCGGAUUCCACCGUAGACGGCGUGGGGUAGCAGCACCGAUCAAGGGUUCGGUUGCCUAGGUUACUACACGCUAUAUUUAGACCGAUUUUUUACUAACAGGGCUGCGGCGACUGCGGACUCGCCGAAGAUCGUGACCUCGUGACUCUCUCCUGGCGGUCUGGUUGCUUUGGGUCUUUUUUUGCGUUAUUGGUAAGGUUUAGGAAGAGAGAGAGAAGGAGGAGAGGAAUCUUCAUUGAGAAAAGUGACACAUUUUUUACAAGUGAAGACAUUACAAGUUGUUAUCAUUUGUUUCAUCCUCACCCUCCUAUGCAAAAUUGAUUGUCAGCACUUGAUCCCAAAAAGAUCAGGUUGUCUCCGUUUUAUUUCCACCAAUCUUGGACCCAGAGAACGGCGCUCUGGAGACAACAAGAAAUAGAGGGAUAGGUGAUGUAAGAACGGUGUCAGGAGGGCGAUUGAUACGAGUAGCGAGAAAUCUCGCAACAUGGAAAAACCUGGAAGAGAUCUAUACCUGACACAGGACUGGAUGGACACAGACAGAAGACGGAACAAGAAAUCCCUUGGAGAAAAUAUUAUCUGCAGAUGGAUUUCUAAGACUGCAAAAUUGUGCUAUACCAGUUAGAUGCAUUGGUAUAUAGUAUUUAUCUAAUAUAAGUUAAACGAGA